rnacentral:SRP_RNA from 1 species
UGUUGGUCCCCUCGCAACGAUAAACCGCGAACCCCGCCAGGCCCGGAAGGGAGCAACGGUAGUGGUCGACUCGUGUGCCGGGGUGUGGCUGGCAGAG